rnacentral:rRNA from 1 species
GACGAACGCUGGCGGCGUGCUUAACACAUGCAAGUCGAACGGAAAGGCCCUGCUUUUGUGUGGUUCUCGAGUGGCGAACGGGUGAGUAACACGUGAGUAACCUGCCCUUGACUUUGGGAUAACUUCAGGAAACUGGGGCUAAUACCUGAUAGCAGCUCCUGCUGCAUGGUGGGGGUUGGAAAGCUUCGGCGGUUGGGGAUGGACUCGCGGCUUAUCAGCUUGUUGGUGGGGUAGUGGCUUACCAAGGUUUUGACGGGUAGCCGGCCUGAGAGGGUGACCGGCCACAUUGGGACUAAGGUACGGCGCAGACUCCUACGGGAGGCAGCAGUGGAGAGUAUGGCACAAUGGGCGGAAGCCUGAUGCAGCAACGCCGCGUGCGGGAUGACGGCCUUCGGGUUGUAAACCGCUUUCGCCUGUGACGAAGCGUGAGUGACGGUAAUGGGUAAAGAAGCACCGGCUAACUACGUG